GAUUAGCCCGCGUUAGAUUAGGUAGUUGGUGGGGUAAUGGCCUACCAAGCCUACGAUCAAUAGCUGAUUUGAGAGGAUGAUCAGCCACAUUGGGACUGAGACACGGCCCAAACUCCUACGGGAGGCAGCAGUGGGGAAUCUUGCACAAUGGAGGAAACUCUGAUGCAGCGAUGCCGCGUGAGUGAAGAAGGCCCUUGGGUUGUAAAGCUCUUUCGUCGGGGAAGAAAAUGACUGUACCCGAAUAAGAAGGUCCGGCUAACUUCGUGCCAGCAGCCGCGGUAAUACGAAGGGACCUAGCGUAGUUCGGAAUUACUGGGCUUAAAGAGUUCGUAGGUGGUUGAAAAAGUUAGUGGUGAAAUCCCAGAGCUUAACUCUGGAACUGCCAUUAAAACUUUUCAGCUAGAGUAUGAUAGAGGAAAGCAGAAUUUCUAGUGUAGAGGUGAAAUUCGUAGAUAUUAGAAAGAAUACCAAUUGCGAAGGCAGCUUUCUGGAUCAUUACUGACACUGAGGAACGAAAGCAUGGGUAGCGAAGAGGAUUAGAUACCCUCGUAGUCCAUGCCGUAAACGAUGUGUGUUAGACGUUGGAAAUUUAUUUUCAGUGUCGCAGGGAAACCGAUAAACACACCGCCUGGGGAGUACGACCGCAAGGUUAAAACUCAAAUGAAUUGACGGGGACCCGCACAAGUAGUGGAGCAUGUGGUUUAAUUCGAAGAUACGCGCAGAACCUUACCAACACUUGACAUGUUCGUCGCGACUCUAAGAGAUUGGAGUUUUCGGUUCGGCCGGACGAAACACAGGUGCUGCAUGGCUGUCGUCAGCUCGUGUCGUGAGAUGUUGGGUUAAGUCCCGCAACGAGCGCAACCCUCACUUUUAGUUGCCAUCAUUAAGUUGGGCACUCUGAAAGAACUGCCAGUGAUAAGCUGGAGGAAGGUGGGGAUGACGUCAAGUCCUCAUGGCCCUUACGUGUUGGGCUACACACGUGCUACAAUGGUAUCUACAACAGGAAGCAAGACUGCGAAGUUAAGCAAAUCCCUAAAAGAUACCUCAGUUCGGAUUGCACUCUGCAACUCGAGUGCAUGAAGCUGGAAUUACUAGUAAUCGUGGAUCAGCGUGCCACGGUGAAUGCGUUCCCGGGUCUUGUACACACCGCCCGUCACACCAUGGGAGUUGGUUCUACCUUAAG
rnacentral:rRNA from 1 species